rnacentral:lncRNA from 1 species
UUCCAAAAAUGUAUCUAUCUUUUUUACUAAUAUUGUCAUGUCCGGUAAUUUUCAACUAUCCAUUUUAAAUAAAUCUUUAAAUAAGAAUUUAUUCUUAAAUAUAAAUCUUAAGUUUUCACCAUUGGAUCUCAUCCAACGAAUAAAAAUAAAAGUAUCUGUCAUUUUUGUUGACAAAAAUACCUUUCAUAUCCGUUAUCUCCUAUCUACGCCGCAUUUUUUAAAUAUUUUUUUCUAUCCACCAAUAAUGUAAUACGUAAAACUAAAUUUAUCUCGUAUCUAACGUAAUACUCACCAAUCACGUAAUACUUCCGCUAAUCACGUAAUAUGUAAAAUUAAAUUUAUUUGCUAUCCACGUGUUUUCUCAAAUAUUUUUUCUUCUCAAACAUAAUAUCUGCCAACACGUAGUAUUCAAAAUUAAAUUUUAAAUUUGUAAUUCUCACCAAAAUUUAAUACCUGCGAAUUUGAUAAUUUAAAUUUUAAUUUAUUAUAGUAGAUUUUUCAUUACAUAAGAUAGUAGAUUUAAUUUUGACGAGUAUUAAAAUUUGGUGCGUCAUAAAAUUAAAUCUACUAUCUGAAAGUAGUGCGUUUGGUAUGCUUCUGAAAGUACAGAGCGCUCCGUACUUCCAAGUUGUUUUUGAUGUUCGGACUUUCGAAUCGAUGAUUGCCUCCGUUAGACUUGAUCUAGAGUAUUUGAAGUAUUUAGAAAAUAAAUUUUGUGAUUUUUCGAUAUUAUUUGCCUAGUGAUCGAAGUGACUCAAAAUUAACGGCUGAAAAUAAAAAUCUUACAAAAUAUGAUGAUAUGACAUUAAAAUUUUAGAUCAAAGUUAUUGAUCUUGUUUUAUAUGGUAUAAAAAAUUUUCUAUCAAAAUUUCAUGUGAUUUAGAUAUUUCUACACUGUUAAACUUGCAAACGGCUCACCACGGCCAUUAAAAUUAUUGAUUUUGAGUCCCUUCGAUCAUUAGGCAAAUAGUAUAAAAAAAAACACAAAAUUUAUUUUCUAGGUACUUCAAAUACUCUAGAUCAACUCUAACGGAGUCGAUCGUCGAUUCGAAAGUCCCAACAUCAAAAAUAACUUGAAAGCACGGAACCAGCCCACUAUAUAUAU